UACGGAGGGGGCUAGCGUUGUUCGGAAUUACUGGGCGUAAAGCGCACGUAGGCGGUUUUGUAAGUUAGAGGUGAAAGCCCGGAGCUCAACUCCGGAAUUGCCUUUAAGACUGCAUCACUUGAACGUCGGAGAGGUGAGUGGAAUUCCGAGUGUAGAGGUGAAAUUCGUAGAUAUUCGGAAGAACACCAGUGGGGAAGGCGGCUCACUGGACGACUGUUGACGCUGAGGUGCGAAAGCGUGGGGAGCAAACAGG
rnacentral:rRNA from 1 species